AGAGCUUUUUAAUCUUCCUAGCGCCACGGGUCGAUUGUAAAGUCUACAUCUAAUCGGCCCUGACGCUUGGAAUAUUAAAGGGCU
rnacentral:pre_miRNA from 2 species